rnacentral:lncRNA from 1 species
GGAAUAUCAUGUAACAAAUGGCUCGAAGUUGACUAUUGAAAAAUUGGGGAGAUUUUUAUUUCCUAGUGAAUCAGCAAGGCAUUUUUUGGUUGUUGUUUAAAAAAGUAUCAUUUCCUUAUAGAAACAGUUUUCAGAUUUUAGUGAACUUGUAAAACAUAAAAGCUCCCAUUUCAAAAUAUGAACAAAAUCCCAGAUCAUAUAGGUGUUUACGGUGAUUACAUUUAUCUAAGCCAUGUACAUACAUGUUCAGUUGUAAGAUGUUAACUAAAUUUCUGUGACAAAUAUGGUUGUUGUUGUUUUUUAAAUACCGAGAACAUGAUAGAGUUAAUGUGGAAUUCUAAAGAUAAUCUGGUAGUUACUAAGAUUUUCUUAUGUCUUCACAGGUAAGCAGGCGGAAUCUUUCCUAUUCUCAAAACUGGAAUUUUUGGUUACUACUAGAUCAGCUGGCUUACAGACAAGAAGCCAACCAUUUUAAGAAUGCUCUUUAUGUGAACAAUUUGCAAACCCCAGGGAUGGAGAAACCCUAAAAAUGCUCAAUCAUAAGCAUUUACAACCUUUGCAGCUGUGGCUGAAGACUAUCCUUCUGAAAUGAUAUCUCAAAGCAGUCUAGUUCAAAAUAAAAAGUUUUAACAAAAAAUUGGCAUAUGGACAAUGUCUCCACCAAUUCGUGUGUGUCAACCAUUUAGUUAACUUUUCUACUUGAAUAAAUGCAAUAGAAAACCAGACACCACGUUUCACUACCUCAGUUAAUAUUCACAAUUACAGCAGCUACACUUUGGGAUACAGCAUCACCAACGCUCCCCAGAGUCAGUUUAUAUUGAAAUAAAGUUUUUUACACCAACUAAAUGGUUGUCCACAGCCACUAGCUGGUGUACAUAUGAACUACAAUUUCUAGAUGUGGGGAGAAACAAAUGCUGCUCGAAUCAUCUGCUCUGCUUCUUCUGUUCCUCAUUCACGCUUAGUUAUCUUUCACAUUAUUCUUGUUUUUUUCAGUUUGCUUGCCUGUCUGGGUUUGGGCCUGCUGACCCUGCCCACUGGAAGAGGCUGCCUGCUGUGCUGCUUUCUGCUUUAACAUCGUCCAAUCAAAUGUGUAGUCAUAUUGGUGGUUCAGGGUCCUGAAAAGAAUGCGGAAUAGCUGCCUCAGAUACAUGUAAUCUGGGACUUCCUCAAAGCGCAGCCCACGACAGUAGUUCAAGUACAUGGCGAAUUCUGCAGGAAACCCCUUACAUAAAACUUCAACAGGGGUGGACACCUUCUUCUCACUAAUCUUUUCAUAUUUUUGUUUUUUUGUCAUAGCCCUUAGUCCUUGCCACGGCAGGCUGGUUCUAUUAAAAUACAUGAAAACGUAGCCUAAGGAUUCCAUGUCAUCUCGGCGGCUCUGCUCAAUACCAAGAUGUGCAUUGAUGCUGGCAUAUCGGACAGUGCCAAUGAGGUGUUUAUCUUCUCUGUACGGAUUCCACAGAGAAGUUCUGGCAAAACUGACUAAAUGAAGGAUUCAAGUAAAAUUUAACCAAAAUAUGGAGAAG